CAUAUGUCUAAAGGUUUGCGGUGGAUGGCAUUCCGUAUACCUAAACUGCUUUGAUAUCUAUCUUGAGGAAAGGCAUAUACUUUGUGCAGUAUUUAUGAUAUACUACCAUAUUCAUUCAAUAACGUUCGCGAAAUCCAGCUCACAGAGCAGCACUAAGCAUCAAAAUGUAUUCGGGAAGUACUUGGUCGAUAGUCACAUUCUUCACCAGGAACUGAAGGUCACAAGAGUUACAAAGAACGGCAGUUAACAACAAUGAAGCAUGUUUACAUCAUGGGUGAACUAUAAAAAGUGUUCCAUAACGUGAAAUGUUCCAACAUGGUUUUAACUAAUAAAUAAACACCACGAGCGUUAAUCUAGGGCCCAAA